AUUGAACGCUGGCGGCAGGCCUAACACAUGCAAGUCGAACGAGUGGCGGACGGGUGAGUAAUGUCUGGGAAACUGCCCGAUUGAGGGGGAUAACUUCUGGAAACGUUAGCUAAUACCGCAUACUAUCGGAUGUGCCCAUAUGGGAUUAGCUAGUAGGUGGGGUAACGGAUCACCUCGGCGACGAUCCCUAGCUGGUCUGCGCGGAUGACCAGCCACACGGGCACUGAGACACGGUCCAUACUCCUACGGGAGGCAGCAGUGGGGAAUAUUGCACAAUGGGGGCAAGCCUGAUGCAGCCAUGCCGCGUGUAUGAAGAAGGCCUUCGGGAUGUAAAGUACUUUCAGCGGGGAGGCGUUACCCACAGAAGAAGCGCCGGCUAACUCCGUGCCAGCAGCCGCGGUAAUUC
rnacentral:rRNA from 1 species